GUGCAUGUGAUGAAGCAAAUCAGUAUGAAUGAAGUCAUGAUACUGUAAACGCUUUCUGAUGUG
ensembl:snoRNA